rnacentral:rRNA from 1 species
UGGGGAAUAUUGCACAAUGGGCGCAAGCCUGAUGCAGCGACGCCGCGUGGGGGAUGACGGCCUUCGGGUUGUAAACUCCUUUCGCCAGGGACGAAGCGUUUUGUGACGGUACCUGGAGAAGAAGCACCGGCUAACUACGUGCCAGCAGCCGCGGUAAUACGUAGGGUGCAAGCGUUGUCCGGAAUUACUGGGCGUAAAGAGCUCGUAGGUGGUUUGUCGCGUCGUCUGUGAAAUUCCACAGCUUAACUGUGGGCGUGCAGGCGAUACGGGCAUAACUUGAGUACUGUAGGGGUAACUGGAAUUCCUGGUGUAGCGGUGAAAUGCGCAGAUAUCAGGAGGAACACCGAUGGCGAAGGCAGGUUACUGGGCAGUUACUGACGCUGAGGAGCGAAAGCAUGGGUAGCAAACAGGAUUAGAUACCCUGGUAGUCCAUGCCGUAAACGGUGGGCGCUAGGUGUAGGGGCCUUUUGGGGUUUCUGUGCCGUAGCUAACGCAUUAAGCGCCCCGCCUGGGGAGUACGNCNGCAAGGCUA